AAAAGAAAGAAAGAAAGAAA
rnacentral:sRNA from 1 species